CGGGGGGACGCUUACCACUUUGUGGUUCAUGACUGGGGUGAAGUCGUAACAAGGUAGCGCUAGGGGAACCUGGCGCUGGAUCACCUCCUUAUACGAUGAU
rnacentral:rRNA from 1 species